UACGUAGGGGGCGAGCGUUGUCCGGAUUCAUUGGGCGUAAAGAGCUCGUAGGCGGCUUGGCAAGUCGGGUGUGAAAACUCCAGGCUCAACCUGGAGAUGCCACCCGAUACUGCUAUGGCUUGAGUUCGGUAGGGGACCACGGAAUUCCUGGUGUAGCGGUGAAAUGCGCAGAUAUCAGGAGGAACACCAGUGGCGAAGGCGGUGGUCUGGGCCGACACUGACGCUGAGGAGCGAAAGCGUGGGGAGCGAACAGG
rnacentral:rRNA from 1 species